AGGACAGUGUUCCAACGUUCAGCAUACACUCAAGUCAUUAAAGGAUCUCUCUCUUACCCAUUCCGUCAAACCAAAAAUGUUUUAGAACUUGAUCAUCCAACUUCUAUCUAUCAAAAAUUGUAAAUUUUCUUAUUGUGCUUCUAGUCUACCCCCUCCCAUUAACUAAUAAGAAGAAUCAAAGAUAUUUUUAGAUUGAUUUCUUAAGAAAAUUAAAUUAUGAACUUUUUUUCAUCGCAAAGUAUUAGAAUUUUAAAAAUUGUUCUUUUAUCCUGGUUCGAGAAAGUUUACCAAAUGUGUUACCAAGCUAAAGCAUUUUCUUUACUAAUAUUUUUCCCCUUUUUUAUCAGCUUGUAGAACUGACUUUACUCAGCUCGCCAGUUUACCGCGUCUUCCAUAUCAAAAUAAAUUCUGUUUAAUAUUUUCAGAUCUUGAAAGAUAGAUAGAUUAAUAUGGGGAACUGUUGUGGAACCGAGGAGCCUGGACCGGAUCCUGUGAGUUAAAUUUAUAAAUAUUUCGCGCAAGUUUUACCAAGAUUUGUAGCGAAGUUGUGAGGCAUUUUUUGGUGUAAAAUUAUGGAUUUGUUUGAAAAUGUUAAUUGCGUCAAGAUCUGCGCACCGAUGGUUAGAUAUUCUAAACUUCCAUUUAGAUUGCUUGUGAAGGACUAUGGAUGUGAUCUAAUGUACUCUCCAAUGAUCAUGGCAGACUCCUUCUACAAUUCACAGAAAGCCCGUGACAACGAAUUUAUAACAAGUGAGGACGAUAGACCAUUAAUAGUUCAGUUUGCCGCCAAUCAAUCAAUCCACUUCUCAGAGAGUGCGCGAAUGGUUGAAAAAUAUUGCAACGGCGUGGAUUUAAACUGUGGAUGUCCCCAGAAAUGGGCAAUCAAGGAAGGUAUUGGUGCUUGCUUAAUCAAUAAUCCUGAGUUUGUUGCUGAUGUAGUCAAACAGACAAGAAUGAAAGUUUCUAAUCCUAAUUUCUCUGUAUCUGUGAAAAUACGAAUACAUGAAGAUAUUUCUCAGACUGUUGACCUCUGCAGACAAAUACAGGCCGCAGGAGCAAGCUACAUAACUGUACAUGGGAGAACUAGAACUCAGAAAGGAGAACCAGUUAAUUUGGAGGCAAUCUCUACAAUAUCUAAAAGUUUAUCGAUACCAGUAGUAGCCAACGGUGAUAUUAAAACAUUAGAUGAUGUGAACAGAGUUCAUGAAAUAACAGGAUGUAAAGGAGUUAUGUCGGCCCGAGGUAUGCUGGAGAAUCCAGCAAUGUACGCUGGAUAUACAUCAACUCCAUUACAGUGUGUAUCUGAUUGGGUGAGAAUAUCUUUAGAGCGUGGAACCCCGUUUACCACCUUCCAUCAUCAUCUUAUAUAUAUGCUGGACAAACUUCUACCCAGAGGAGAUCGAAGACUGUUUAACUCCCUAGCAUCAACCUCCGCUGUUUUCGCGUGCUGUCAUCUUUGGGUAUAGUGAAGAAAUUAUCCCAAGUAAACCAUUAAGACGUGUGUCGGGUUUUGGAUGUCUAAAAGUUCUUUUAGUGGCUGGAUCUGGUAUGUACCUUGGAGCACAGAUUGCAAUCCGUAUG
rnacentral:misc_RNA from 1 species